rnacentral:rRNA from 1 species
GGAAGUAAAAGUCGUAACAAGGUCUCCGUUGGUGAACCAGCGGAGGGAUCAUUACCGAGUUAUACAACUCAUCAACCCCUGUGAACUUACCUAUAACGUUGCUUCGGCGGGAACAGACGGCCCCGUAAAACGGGCCGCCCCCGCCAGAGGACCCCUAACUCUGUUUUUAUAAAUGUUUUUUCUGAGUAAACAAGCAAAUAAAUUAAAACUUUCAACAACGGAUCUCUUGGCUCUGGCAUCGAUGAAGAACGCAGCGAAAUGCGAUAAGUAAUGUGAAUUGCAGAAUUCAGUGAAUCAUCGAAUCUUUGAACGCACAUUGCGCCCGCCAGUAUUCUGGCGGGCAUGCCUGUUCGAGCGUCAUUACAACCCUCAGGCCUCCGGGCCUGGCGUUGGGGAUCGGCGGAGCCCCCCCGUGGGCACACGCCGUCCCCCAAACACAGUGGCGGUCCCGCCGCAGCUUCCAUUGCGUAGUAGCUAACACCUCGCAACUGGAGAGCGGCGCGGCCACGCCGUAAAACACCCAACUUCUGAAUGUUGACCUCGAAUCAGGUAGGAAUACCCGCUGAACUUAAGCAUAUCAAUAAGCGGAGGA